GCCGCCGCCGCCGUCCUGGAGGGCCCGGCGGCGGCGUCCUGGAGGGCCCGGCGGCGGCGUCCUGGAGGGCCCGGAGGCGGCGUCCUGGAGGGCCCGGAGGCGGCGUCCUGGAGGGCCCGGAGGCGGCAGCUCCUCAUCCAGUAAAGCUAAUCUCUUCUCCAGUGCAUCAUGAACGGGGAGGAAUGUCCGGGGUGCAAAUAGAACGUGUGUCACAUUUCAGAAGAAAUGAGGCGACGUUGCGGAGGUCCAGGCGGUUGGCCCGGUGGAGGUCCAGGCGGUUGGCCCGGUGGAGGUCCUGGAGGAGACGGUCCCGGCGGUGGAGGUCCUGGAGGAGACGGUCCCGGCGGUGGAGGACGGCUGGGGGUCCGGCGGUGGAGGUCCGAAGGCGGCUCGUGAUUAGACCAACCAGCUCCUCAUCCAUGGAAGCAGGAUUGAAGGAGUCACUGGGAUGAAGAUCACUGCUCAGGGGCUGACGACCAUUCAUCUUUCCGGAGAAGCGUCCUCAUGGUGCAGGCGGUCAAACCUCCACCUCUUUGAAGAGACCAAGCAGCUUGAUGACUGACUGGUUCUUUAUACUCAAGACCUCGUCCCGGAGCAGAGGACGGACCUAAGGCCCGCAGCGCAGCCGACUAGAGACUCCAUGUGGAACCGGUUCAAUUAAGUUGACCUCUCCUUCAGGCGACUUAAAGGGAGACCAGAUGUGCGGCAGCUGGGUGUCAUGGUGCAGAGACCCAACGCUGUACUGAACUACACCAGUGUGUCCUACUCCCAUAAACCCUGAGGAUCCCUGGAGAGAAAAUGGAGAGAAAGUAAUUAUUUUCUCCAUUUUAUGUUGCACCACAUUUUGAGGGAAGAAUGUUUGAAUCAAUCUUUGUCAUUUAUUUCUGUACUCCAUAUCUGUAAUCCCAGCUGUUGUAUUUUAACACGGUAGCUGGGAACCCUCUUUAUAGGGAGCGACUAGAGGGACGAGGCUGGAAGCAAACCUGAGCCUGGAUCUUAACCUUCUUUCUAAACCUAAUGCCGCAAUUUAACCGCAAAUAAAGUGAGGCCUAAAGUAACUUGACUCUCUUACCUAAACUUGCUUGCCUAAACUCGCUUGUCUAAACUCGCUUGCAUAAAACCUAACCUCACUUGCAUAAAACCUGAACUUGCUUGGCUAAACUCGUGUCGCUUGCCUAAUACCUGAACUUGCUUGCCUAAACUCGCUUGCCUAAUACCUGAACUCGCUUGCCUAAACUCGCUUGCCUAAACUCGCUUGCCUAAACUCGCUUGCCUAAACUCGCUUGCCUAAACUCGCUUGCCUAAUACCUGAACUCGCUUGCAUAAAACCUAAACUCGCUUAGCUUGACUCGCUUGCCUGUACUCGCUUGGCUAAACUCGCUUGCAUAAAACCUAAACUCGCUUAGCUUGACUCGCUUGCCUGUACUCGCUUGGCUAAACUCGCUUGCCUAAUGCCUGAAGUCGCUUGCCUAAUGCCUGAAGUCGCAUGCCUAAUACCUGAAGUCGCUUGCCUAAAACCCAAACUUGCUUGUCCAAACACGUUACACAAAGUUAACCAUCCAUAAUCUUUAACCCAAACCAGACUUGUCCCUGGGUCGCUCCACUUUAAUUUAGAAGUUUCUUCUUUUACCUCAUCUGCGUUUUGAGUUUCAUUCUUUGAGGGCUUGAAGUGCUUUGGAGGAUAUUUGAACCUUUGUUUGCCGCAUCAAUAAACAUGCUUUAUCUUUA